CCGGGCGAUCGGGCGCGGCGGUUGAUUGCCACCAGCUUUCCGCGCUGACGGUCGCGGGUUCGAUUCCCGCCUCCCGGUCC
rnacentral:tRNA from 1 species